GGAGUUUCGCUCUGUUACCCAGGCUGGAGUGCAAUGGUGCGAUCUCGGCUCUCUGCAACCUCCGCCCCCUGGGUUCAAGCGAUUCUCCUGCCUCAGCCUCCCGAGUAGCUGGGAUUAUAGGUGCCCGUCACCACGCCUGACUAAUUUUUUUUGUAUUUUUAGUAGAGACAGGGUUUCGCCAUGUCGGCCAGGCUGGUCUUAAACUCCUGACUUCAGGUGAUCCACCUGCCUCGGCCUCCCAAAGUACUGGGAUUACAGACGUGAGCCACCGUGCCUGGCUAAUGUCUCUCUUUUUCGAGGUGAGAAACACAUCUUUUGAGCUUUCCCAGGGGCUCAACUGGCAAAUUCCAAAGUUAAUUCAAGGUCAAAAGACUGAAUUUAGAAUUUGAUUUUAGGAAGUUUGUCAAAAAUGUAAAAAAAGAUUUAAAACACUUGAUGAGUGCUUGCUUUGGCAGCACAUAUACUAAAGUUGGAAUGAUGCAGAGAAGAUUAGCAUGGCCCCUGUGCAAGGAUAACUCACAAAUUCAUGAGGCCUUCCAUAUUUUUUGAAAUUAAGAAAAGAAAAAAGGAAAAAUUUGAUUAAUAGGAUCUCAGGUAACUAUUAAUUUAGGUCACUAAUAAUUAGUCUGGUUACCAGAGUGAUUAUUGAAUUAUAUAGUGAUCUGGGAUCCUAUUUAAUCAACUGUUCAUUUUAUAAUCAUUUAAUAUUUUAUGAUUUAAGUAUUUAAUGAGCAUUUAAUAUUUAUUAAUAUUCAUUUCAUAAUCACCAGGGUAAUUAUUAAAAGGCUUUGAAGGCAAAUAAAGUUAUAUAGUUGUAAAAAUAUAUAUAUUAGCUCUCUUAAUAGGAUUUUAUUUUCUUGGAAAGUAAUUGAAGGCCUGAUAAAAGAUAACAUGAAAGAGAAAAUUAUUUUGAUAAGACAUAAUUUUUUAAGGCAGAUUACUUAAAAGGUGAAAAAGAAAAUCUUUCACUCUUUUUUAUCAAUACUACAAGAAAAUCUUGCAUUUUAAAAGAUAAUGCCAAAUUCUAGUUUUGCAUCAAUGUACCCUUGAUAUUAGGGCUCAUUUUUAAGACAUAAUAAAUUCACUCUCAUUUUUAAGACAUAAUAAAUUCACUCAAUUUUGGUCAGUUUGACCACAAAAGAUUCUCUCUUUCCAACUUUUAUAUGCAUUCAGUUUUACCUGUAUCUUUUCUUCCUUCCUUUAUUCUGCAACAACUUAUAAACUAGACUAAGUUAUUUUUCCUCAACAAAACCCCCCCACAUCUUCAUACCUCACUAACAUCUUACUUUCCUUGUACACUUUGCAUACAGAGUCACUUAUAGUAGUUAUAUAAUUAUAUAUGAGAAUUUUAAGUCUUAGCAACUCUACAGCGAAACCUAGGAAGUAAGCGAUUUUGAACUGUCAUGAGCUAACAUUUUGUGAAGACACAUAAUUUCUAGAAACGUGUUUUCUCGCAGAAUAGUUUUUCAGUAUGAAACAGGACAUGUUUACCUAUGGACCCAAAUAUAUUAUUUCUUUCUAUAAAUUUUAAGAAGCCAAAGGU
rnacentral:lncRNA from 10 species